UAUCUAAUGUGUGCGUAGCGAUGGUC
rnacentral:piRNA from 1 species